rnacentral:tRNA from 1 species
CAAGAAGUAGUUUAAUUAGAACGUCAGCUUUGGGUGUUGAUAGUGGGGAGGAUAGUCCUUCUUCUUGA